rnacentral:ncRNA from 1 species
CCCGCUGAGUUUAAGCAUAUAAAUAAGCGGAGGAGAAGAAACUUACGAGGAUUCCCCUAGUAACGGCGAGCGAACCGGGAGCAGCCCAGCUUGAGAAUCGGGCGGCCUCGCCGCCCGAAUUGUAGUCUGGAGAGGCGUCCUCAGUGACGGACCGGGCCCAAGUUCUCUGGAAAGGGACGCCUGGGAGGGUGAGAGCCCCGUCCGGCCCGGACCCUGUCGCACCACGAGGCGCCGUCAACGAGUCGGGUUGUUUGGGAAUGCAGCCCAAAUCGGACGGUAAACUCCGUCCAAGGCUAAAUACAGGCGAGAGACCGAUAGCGAACAAGUACCACGAGGGAAAGAUGAAAAGGACUUUGAAAAGAGAGUCAAAGAGUGCUUGAAAUUGCCGGGAGGGAAGCGGAUGGGGGCUGGCGACGCGCACCGGCCGUAUGCGGAACGGCUCCUACUGGUCCGCCGAUCGGCUCGGGGCGUGGACCGUUGUCGCCCGCGCCGGCGGCCAAAGCCCGGGGGCCCUAGGCGCCCCCGGCAGCCGUCGUCGGCACGGACGGUAUCCGCGCGCCUCUGGCGCGCCCCUCGGGGCGCUGCGCCGCAACGGCCUGCGAGCUCCCCAUCCGACCCGUCUUGAAACACGG